GACGAACGCUGGCGGCGUGCCUAAUACAUGCAAGUCGAACGCAGUGGGGACAGGUGAGUAACACGUGGGUAACCUCCCAUCAGAGGGGAUAACACUUGGAAACAGGUGCUAAACCGACACUGAUGGAUGCACCCGCGGUGCAUUAGCCAGUUGGUGAGGUAACGGCGCACCAAGGCCACGAGGCAUAGCCGACCUGAGAGGGUGAUCGGCCACACUGGGACUGAGACACGGCCCAGACUCCUACGGGAGGCAGCAGUAGGGAAUCUUGGGCAAUGGGCGAAAGUCUGACCGAGCAACGCCGCGUGUGUGAAGAAGGUUUUCGGAUUGUAAAGCACUGUUGGUGGAGAAGCGGUAUCUAACCAGAAAGCCACGGCUAACUACGUGCCAGCAGCCGCGGUAAUAC
rnacentral:rRNA from 1 species